CUGCAGGUCGGGAGCUGAGUGGUCGGACCGUCUCGAUGUGUUGCUAGGCAAACUAACUCUUCUGAAGCACAUGUGUUCCCGAACUGCGGCAAACGGCGAGCCGCGCCCCCCCGACGCCUCACCAAGGGGGGGGGCCCGGUCCCGACAAGCAAGGCGGCGGUAUACAGUACGUGACGUCACUCAACAUUGGCAACACACGGAGGUGUGGACAGUGAUGCGAUGUGUUUAAGAUCCCAAUUAUUCAAAGUUACCCAUGCAAUUAAUCGAAAAACCAAACCAAAAGUAGGGCGUGUUAUCUAUUCAAGACAAUGAACACUGUAGUUUAAGAAAUACCAGCUUUAUGUCGAACGAAGUGUGAAUAUAACGCCCACCUCGCGAGGCAGCGUGUGCCCGCGAAGAUGCUGCUGCGCGCCCAUUUACGACCUGCCUCCACGAGCCUCCGAGAAGAGCCCUAAUGAAACGGCAUUACAAUCACAAAUGAACCACGAGCCUCCUUUACAUUCAGAUAUAACAUUACACAACGACUCAUCUGAUGUGGAGACCCUCUGAUGGAUGCCCAUCAGCCCGUCGCACCGACGAAACACGGAAAGUCUUCAAAAUGUUGCACCUUGUGGAUGUUGUGGUUCAUAACUGGUUCACUUAUCUCUAAAUGGGCGAUGGUUCCCAGCACCCUCGAAUCUGCUUUUGAAUAACAACCUAAAUGUAAACAGUAUACUCCAAAAUCCCGCCAUGGUUUAAACAUUUAAUUGCAAAAUAAACCUUCUAACAUUACUCA